CUAAGUUACAUAUGAUAAUCAUAUAUUACACGCUGUAAAAUAGAGUAUGAGGAUUUUUUUUUUUUCAGAAAAAAAUGAUAAAUUGUGUUGGAUAAAAACACUGUAUGUUUUUUGCUUUAGUGUUUAUUUUCCUCUGUUUGUUUAUGGUUAAGAUUGGAAGACCUGAUAUUGGUUAUGUUUGGUCUAUACAUAAUUCAUUCUUCUUUUGACACGUCGUUUUAGGGUUUAUUAUUUCAUUGUUGAUGGCAUUUGAAAUGAUAAGGUGGAGUAUUAGUUACAGUCUUACAGUAUGAAGCAAAUCCUAAUGAUUAUGAUGGGAACGAGGAAAUAUUAACGCAAUUUGACCUGAAUAUGGCUUUUGGGCCAUGUCUUGGAUUGAGCAGACUUGACAGAUGGGAGCGUGCUAAGAGUCUUGGUUUAAACCCUCCUAGAGAUGUGGAGCCCCUCUUGAGGUCUAGCAAGGUUCGCAAUGAAUGCCUGUGGGGUGGACGUGUUUAGCUUUGUUUAGGUUAUCAUCCAGUAGCUCUUGUAGUACUUAGCUUUCGGGUGGGUGGUUCAUGUUCCAGGUAAUUAAGUUACAGCAUCUAGCUGUAUGGUAGAUGUUUAGUUCACUACUAUUCCUAAUGUAAGUCUUUUUGAAGUUUGUUUUGUCUUGUGUUUGACGAAUUUGCUGCUGAAAGUUUUUAUGCAUAUUAUUAGAUAUUUUCAUC